GGGGUUAAAUAGAUUCUUCUUAACUCUCAAAAUAAUGCAGUUUUAUCCCCUUGAUUCCACCUCCAUGUUGUUUUUCAGGUCUGACUGGUGUCACGGUUUUGUUGUCACAGCCCCCAGCUGGUGCUUUGGAACCACUAGGACAAACUCUUCUGGACAUACCACUAGCAAGUAUGGCAGAGAUUGAGAAGAUACACAAGAUACAGGAGAGGGCAGUCAUUUGCCCUGACCUUCUUAGGGCUUAAUGGCUCUUUCCACCAAAGGCAGACUGCUAAACAUGGUUCCAUCCCCGGAGAUAAACAGAGCAAAGGAGGGCGAAGGAAAGGAUUAAUAAGAAAAACUUGCAAAAGUUGAGCUGCCCUGGAAAUGACGUGGGUCAGAAAAUAAAGAGAAAUAAAUCCUAAA